AAUUUUGGACAAUGGGGGAAACCCUGAUCCAGCCAUCCCGCGUGUAUGAUGAAGGCCUUCGGGUUGUAAAGUACUUUUGGCCGAGAGGAAAAGGUAUCACCUAAUACGGGAUACUGCUGACGGUUUAUGCAGAAUAAGCACCGGCUAGCUAUGUGCCAGCAGCCGCGGUAUUACGUAGGGUGCAAGCGUUAAUCGGAAUUACUGGGCGUGAAGCAGUUGUAGGCGGUUCGGAAAGAAAGAUGGGAAAUCCCAGGGCUCAACCUUGGAACUGCAUUUUUAACUGACGAGCUAGAGUAUGUCAGAGGGGGGUAGAAUUCCACGUGUAGCAGUGAAAUGCGUAGAUAAGUGGAGGAAUACCGAUGGCGAAGGCAGCCCCCUGGGAUAAUACUGACGCUCAGACACGAAAGCGUGGGGAGCAAACAGG
rnacentral:rRNA from 1 species